GGGCGCGUAGCUCAGUUGGUUAGAGCGCCACCCUGAUAAGGUGGAGGUCCCAGAUUCGAGUUCUGGCGCGCCCA
rnacentral:tRNA from 1 species